ensembl:lincRNA
GGUGAUCUGCUAAUUUAAAUUUGUGAAUACCAAACUUUAGUCACCUUCAGUAACUCAUUCAGUGGAUUAUUUUUUUUAUUUAAUAUUUUUUUAAAGCUUAUUUAUUUGACAGAGAGAACACAAACUGGAGGAGUGGCAGAGAUAGAUGUAGAGGGAGAAACAGACUCCCCACCAAGGAAGGAGCCCACCAUGGGGCUCGAUCCCAGGACCCUGAGAUCAUGACCUGAACUGAAAGCAGAUGCUUAACGACUGAGCCACCCAGGUGCCCCUCAGUGGAUUAUUGUUAGGAAGCCCUCUGAUGCAGAUGAGAAAAAUGAGGCAGAGUGAGAUAAAAUGAUUUUUCUAAACUCAGUCACUGACAAAGCUCUCUAGCAGUGAUAUAAGGAUCUGGUGGUAGCAGGAUAGCUGCUGAAGCUGCUUCCCAGCUUCAGGAAGAUGGAUUCCUAUGGAAUUGACUUCUGCUGGACACAAGUUCUUUCAGGGUCAGACGUACUCACCUAUCAUCACCACAUGGCUGCCGAUUUGUUUUUGUAGCACUUCCAUGUUUCUUCAUCAGGUUCUUUGGUGUAAUAAGGAGAAACAAGAUUUGGAGAGAGAUUUUUUUUUUCCCUCAUUACGUUUAUGGUUACUCCUGAUAUCUUGCUAAUCUACCCCUGACCUGGAUCCAUGGUAAUUUGGAAGUUUCAUUUGGACACUAGGAUGGAUAAAGGAUUUCUGGAGAAUUUUGAGUCUUCCUGGAUAGAUGUGCAUUAUGUUCAAGCUUUGUGGAGGCUUUAUU